GACGAACGCUGGCGGCGUGCUUAACACAUGCAAGUCGAACGAAGCAAUUUAAGGGAAGUUUUCGGAUGGAAGUUAAAUUGACUGAGUGGCGGACGGGUGAGUAACGCGUGGGUAACCUGCCUCAUACAGGGGGAUAACAGUUAGAAAUGACUGCUAAUACCGCAUAAGCGCACAGGAUCGCAUGGUCUGGUGUGAAAAACUCCGGUGGUAUGAGAUGGACCCGCGUCUGAUUAGCUAGUUGGUGGGGUAACGGCCUACCAAGGCGACGAUCAGUAGCCGACCUGAGAGGGUGACCGGCCACAUUGGGACUGAGACACGGCCCAAACUCCUACGGGAGGCAGCAGUGGGGAAUAUUGCACAAUGGGCGAAAGCCUGAUGCAGCGACGCCGCGUGAGCGAAGAAGUAUUUCGGUAUGUAAAGCUCUAUCAGCAGGGAAGAAAAAUGACGGUACCUGACUAAGAAGCACCGGCUAAAUACGUGCCAGCCGCCGCGGUAACAC
rnacentral:rRNA from 1 species